UACGAAGGGUGCAAGCGUUACUCGGAAUUACUGGGCGUAAAGCGUGCGUAGGUGGUUGUUUAAGUCUGCUGUGAAAGCCCUGGGCUCAACCUGGGAAUUGCAGUGGAUACUGGGCGACUAGAGUGUGGUAGAGGAUAGUGGAAUUUCCGGUGUAGCAGUGAAAUGCGUAGAGAUCGGAAGGAACAUCUGUGGCGAAGGCGGCCAGCUGGGACAACACUGACGCUGAAGCACGAAAGCGUGGGGAGCAAACAGG
rnacentral:rRNA from 1 species